AUUGAACGCUGGCGGAAUGCUUUACACAUGCAUGUCGAACGGCAGCACGGACUUCGGUCUGGUGGCGAGUGGCGAACGGGUGAGUAAUGUAUCGGAACGUGCCCAGUCGUGGGGGAUAACGUAGUGAAAAUUACGCUAAUACCGCAUACGAUCUAUGGAUGAAAGCGGGGGAUCGCAAGACCUCGCGCGAUUGGAGCGGCCGAUAUCAGAUUAGGUAGUUGGUGGGGUAAAGGCCCACCAAGCCAACGAUCUGUAGCUGGUCUGAGAGGACGACCAGCCACACUGGAACUGAGACACGGUCCAGACUCCUACGGGAGGCAGCAGUGGGGAAUUUUGGACAAUGGGCGAAAGCCUGAUCCAGCCAUUCCGCGUGCGGGAUGAAGGCCCUCGGGUUGUAAACUGCUUUUGUACAGAACGAAAAGGUUUCUACUAAUACUAGGAGCUCAUGACGGUACUGUAAGAAUAAGCACCGGCUAACUACGUGCCAGCAGCCGCAGUAA
rnacentral:rRNA from 1 species